ensembl:lncRNA
GAAAAAACAAGACCUGCAAACACUAUACAAAAGAUGUUGUGUGCUUGCCCUUGUCUUCAGCAUCAACGUUUCUCAUACCGAGAGGAGAUUCAAGAGCAAAACUAGCACAAGAUGGCCUUAUUGGGAAGAUCUCCUUUACAUCUGACUGGUCUGAAGCACAACUUAGAGAAGAAAUGGCAGCAAUCUUCAGAAGAACAUUUGCACUGUCAACUGGCCAGACAUUCCCUUUUGAGUAUUUGAGUACAAUUAGAGGAUGUAAACGACUAAUGAAACCAAAUGUUUCUAGCAGUUUUCUUUGGGGUGGCCAAGAAGUUGGCUCGAUUUGUUCCUCCACCUGCCUCUAUAUAAUGGCAGGGAUACAAAAACCUGCACAGGAGGAACCAGAAGAGCUGUCUGAUAGUGACUUUGAAAGUCCAGUCUGCCGGAGAAGACGAGCCCUAUUUUUCUGGAGGAAGAUGAAGCUCUUGAAGAGGCAAUUCAGCGUAGCCUCCUAGAAGAGUCUGAUAGACAGAGUGAAGUUCAUAUUUCAAGGUCUUUUAAGAAGCUCAGCAAAGAAGAAAUUGAAGGUCUUCUUAGAGCUCAUAGUGAGAAAGUCAUUACACCAGGAACAAGACAACUCCAUAUCAGUCGAGCCAAUGUGUGGUCGACUGCUUUUUGCGCCAGUUCAAGAGACCCAAGUUUGCAGAAAGCUGUGAGAUGCUUUAUGUCACAUUUGCAAGCGAUGAACAUGAUACAGAGGAA